rnacentral:misc_RNA from 1 species
GAUGAAGAACGCAGCGAAAGGCGAUAAGUAAUGUGAAUUUCAGAAUUCAGUGAAUCAUCGAAUCUUUGAACGCACAUUGCGCCCGCCAGUAUUCUGGCGGGCAUGCCUGUUCGAGCGUCAUUACAACCCUCAGGCCCCCGGGCCUGGCGUUGGGGAUCGGCGGAGCCCCCCGUGGGCACACGCCGUCCCCCAAAUACAGUGGCGGUCCCGCCGCAGCUUCCAUCGCGUAGUAGCUAACACCUCGCGACUGGAGAGCGGCGCGGCCACGCCGUAAAACACCCAACUCUUCUGAAGUUGACCUCGAAUCAGGUAGGAAUACCCGCUGAACUUAAGCAUAUCAAUAAGCGGAGGA